rnacentral:rRNA from 1 species
UACAGAGGGUGCGAGCGUUAAUCGGAAUUACUGGGCGUAAAGCGUGCGUAGACGGUUAUUUAAGUCGGAUGUGAAAGCCCCCGGGCUCAACCUGGGAAUUGCAUUCGAGACUGAAUAGCUAGGGUACGGUAGAGGGAAGCGGAAUUUCCGGUGUAGCGGUGAAAUGCGUAGAUAUCGGGAGAACAUCAGUGGCGAAAGCGGCCUUCCUGGACCAGUACCGACGUUCAGGCACGAA